rnacentral:pre_miRNA from 1 species
GCUGUGAAGAGGAAGAAUGAGAGAUCUUAAGAGCGCUAGGAAUGGGAAUAUGGAGGAAAGCCAAACUUAUUAGUUUUCAGCUCUAGUAUUGGGGGUGCAAAUAUUAUGUUUGGUGUUUUCCUGAUGUCUCCCAUUCCUAUGAUUCUUGAGCACUCCUUCCGCUUAUCUUUUGAU